rnacentral:lncRNA from 10 species
CCUGAAUUCUUUCUUGUGUGAAAUCCAAGAGCCCUCUCUUGGGGUUGGAUCGGGACCCUGUUCCUGUAACAAGUCCACAAUGCCAGAGAAUUAAAGAGAACCACAAAGCAAGACCAACUCCCCUUCUUCCACCUUCCCAACCUACUCAAUGUGAAGAUGAUGAAGAUGAAGACCUUUGUCAUGAUCCACAUCCACUUAAUAAAUGCUGAACCUCAAAAAGUUAGCCUGGCGAGGGGAGGAUGAUGAGAUUUCCCCUGUUGUCACAUAAACAAGGAAGUAAAGGGGGCCCCUUGUGCUCUCAGAACUCCAAGCAUGAAACGAUUUUCUGCCAUUUCAGUUCCUGUUAUCGUGCUUUGAGGUGCACUGAACUGCAGCAAACCCAGGGGAUCCAAGGCUACGUUGAAAAGCCUUUGACCACAGUGCAGGGAGCAGAAGACAUUAAUGACGUGAUGUCGACACAGCCCGCACUCAGGAUCCUCCAGGAAAAGAACACAGAGAUAACCCCGGAUCGAUGGUACUUUUUGAAAAUGCUUUAUUGCAAAAGAGUGGCUAGGGUUUUACAAGGGCUAUG